ACGUAGGGCGCAAGCGUUGUCCGGAAUUAUUGGGCGUAAAGAGCUCGUAGGCGGUUUGUCGCGUCUGCUGUGAAAACUCGGGGCUUAACCCCGGGCCUGCAGUGGGUACGGGCAGACUAGAGUGUGGUAGGGGAGACUGGAAUUCCUGGUGUAGCGGUGAAAUGCGCAGAUAUCAGGAGGAACACCGGUGGCGAAGGCGGGUCUCUGGGCCAUAACUGACGCUGAGGAGCGAAAGCGUGGGGAGCGAACAGGA
rnacentral:rRNA from 1 species